UCCAGACUCCUACGGGAGGCAGCAGUGGGGAAUAUUGCACAAUGGGCGAAAGCCUGAUGCAGCGACGCCGCGUGAGUGAAGAAGUAUUUCGGUAUGUAAAGCUCUAUCAGCAGGGAAGAAAAUGACGGUACCUGACUAAGAAGCCCCGGCUAACUACGUGCCAGCAGCCGCGGUAAUACGUAGGGGGCAAGCGUUAUCCGGAAUUACUGGGUGUAAAGGGUGCGUAGGUGGCAUGGUAAGUCAGAAGUGAAAGCCCGGGGCUUAACCCCGGGACUGCUUUUGAAACUGUCAUGCUGGAGUGCAGGAGAGGUAAGCGGAAUUCCUAGUGUAGCGGUGAAAUGCGUAGAUAUUAGGAGGAACACCAGUGGCGAAGGCGGCUUACUGGACUGUCACUGACACUGAUGCACGAAAGCGUGGGGAGCAAACAGGAUUAGAUACCCUCGUAC
rnacentral:rRNA from 1 species